CCAAGCUUCUGAGGGAAAAUAGAAAAGGGGGAAGAGGAGGAGGGAUUAUACUCUAUGUAAAAGAGUGAUUUGAGACAUGGGCAAGAGGACAGAUCAGCUGGGGGUGUCUUUGGGUCAAAAUCAGAAGAGACACCAUCAAGGAAGUGCUUGUAGUAGGUGUCUGCUAUGGAAGACCUGAUGUGAAAACAGAUAAAAUCUUCUUCAAACAAUUGAAGACUGGAAGUGGCAGCCUUUGCUGCACUGUUAAGAUUAUCCUAAGGAAUGUGAAGAAGAUCUUCAUGAGGAAGGUUAUGCUUCCAAGUCUCUAUGGAAUCAAUGAGGAAGCAAAUAACAAACUGCUGACAGUUGGAAAAAGCUGAGUUAGCUGAGAUGGAUGUAAUAUUUGCCCUUUUCCAGUCAGCUGGGACUUCCCCCAAGCUCCAUGACCUGUCAAAGAUGUUGCAGUGUGCCUCUGCAAUGAUGCUGGCAAGCCCUCCCAGAGCCUUGACUGCAUUCUGCCAAGUCCCAUUGAUUUGUGUAUGUUCCACUUGUACAGGUGGUCUCAAACACUCCUGAGCUCUUUUGCUCUCCUUGGAAACCUUUCCAACAGUUUUCUGUGAAGCUGAAAUAGGAGUAAUUUGAUGGAUGAGCAUCUGCAUAUAUCGUAUAGAAAUGUGAGACCAGCAAUAGAAACAUGAUAGAACAGACCUGUCAACUGUUUUAGGCAAGUAAAAACCGGUGCAACACCCAGGGAUCGACCAAGUGAUGAGGCAGGCUAAGAAAUUAACCAGAAGAGUUGUGGUAAUCCUCAGCCAAAACAAAGAAACCAUAAAACAACCAGCCAGAAGAAGAAGAAGAAAUAAAAAAGCAGUGUUAAAACACAUCCGACUGGACACUCUGGCAUCCUCACCUACCGCAACAGGGUUCCUUAAUGUUAUGCGGCCAUUGCCUUGUUCAAAAGCCAGAGAGACUUGUAAUAAAGCAUGUUUUCACAAAGUU